rnacentral:rRNA from 1 species
GGAAUAUUGCACAAUGGGCGCAAGCCUGAUGCAGCGACGCCGCGUGAGGGAUGACGGCCUUCGGGUUGUAAACCUCUUUCAGUAGGGAAGAAGCGAAAGUGACGGUACCUGCAGAAGAAGCGCCGGCUAACUACGUGCCAGCAGCCGCGGUAAUACGUAGGGCGCAAGCGUUAUCCGGAAUUAUUGGGCGUAAAGAGCUCGUAGGCGGUUUGUCGCGUCUGCUGUGAAAGACCGGGGCUCAACUCCGGUUCUGCAGUGGGUACGGGCAGACUAGAGUGCAGUAGGGGAGACUGGAAUUCCUGGUGUAGCGGUGAAAUGCGCAGAUAUCAGGAGGAACACCGAUGGCGAAGGCAGGUCUCUGGGCUGUAACUGACGCUGAGGAGCGAAAGCAUGGGGAGCGAACAGGAUUAGAUACCCUUG